GCCAUCUCAUAAGGGUGUAAAGUAUUGUGAUGGUUUGUCUUGAUGGCUGACUUGUGUUUGUGUUAGUGUUUCAACAGCACACCGUGGGACAAUAGUAACAGGGCCAAAGGAAUACAUCUUCAACAUGUACAUAAAUUCCACCAAGUGGCUGCAUGGAAAAGCAAAAAUAAAGAAGGAGUUAGCUACACCUGAAAGGUUCUUCUUUAUGAACAAAUCACUCAGAAGAGGAUCAGCUGCUGAUCAUACGUCUGACUCAGCUAUAUCUCAUUGCUAUGGCUCUUGGCCACAAGAUAUCUGACUCUGUGUCACCAGCCUAACAGAAGAUCACAUUGUGCUGCCAAAGCACAGAACACACCCAGCUUCUUGGAUUUCAUCUGUCUUGCAUUUCCUUAUGUAUCAGUUACAGGAAAAGCAGCAACUGAAAUACAGCUCUCAAAUGCUCUGGAUGGUAAAUAAAACAAGGCAUAUGCUAUAAUACCCUCUGAGAGAAAUGCCCUUGCCCUGGUGUGUGUGUAAGGUCCUACAAGUAUGUAGAAUAUGUCGUUUACCUAGCUUCCAUUUACUAAGAAUUAGUUGGCUGGCCUAUAUUUUGAAGGGAGUGACAUUUUCUUGGCCAGGCCUUUCUGGCUC
rnacentral:lncRNA from 1 species